rnacentral:rRNA from 1 species
ACUCCUGCGGGAGGCAGCAGUGGGGAAUAUUGGACAAUGGGCGCAAGCCUGAUCCAGCCAUGCCGCGUGAGUGAUGAAGGCCCUAGGGUUGUAAAGCUCUUUCACCGGUGAAGAUAAUGACGGUAACCGGAGAAGAAGCCCCGGCUAACUUCGUGCCAGCAGCCGCGGUAAUACGAAGGGGGCUAGCGUUGUUCGGAUUUACCGGGCGUAAAGCGCACGUAGGCGGACUAUUAAGUCAGGGGUGAAAUCCCGGGGCUCAACCCCGGAACUGCCUUUGAUACUGGUAGUCUUGAGUUCGAGAGAGGUGAGUGGAAUUCCGAGUGUAGAGGUGAAAUUCGUAGAUAUUCGGAGGAACACCAGUGGCGAAGGCGGCUCACUGGCUCGAUACUGACGCUGAGGUGCGAAAGCGUGGGGAGCAAACAGGAUUAGACACCCGUGUAGUCCCAUGAU